GACAGAGGUCCCAAGCGUUAGGCGGAAUCACUGGGCUUAAAGCGUGUGUAGGCGGAUCCGUAAGUACCUUGUGAAAUCCCUCGGCUUAACCCGGGGAACUGCGUCUGAUACUGGAUGGCUUGAGUUUGGGAGAGGGAUGCGGAAUUCCAGGUGUAGCGGUGAAAUGCGUAGAUAUCAGGAAGAACACCCGUGGCGAAGGCGGCUCUCUGGGACGGUACUGACGCUGAGACGCGAAAGCGUGGGGAGCAACAGG
rnacentral:rRNA from 1 species